GGGGAUAUAGCUCAGUUGGUAGAGCGCUUGCCUCUCAUGUAUGAGGCCCUGGGUUCAAUCCCCAGCACCCCCC